rnacentral:misc_RNA from 1 species
UAGGUCCUCGAAAGAGGAUCUAUGUAUUUCAUCAUCACACCUAUCGUAUGUCUAGAAUGUCAUCGUCGACCACUGGGCGGCGAAAUAAAUAAUACAACUUUCAGCAACGGAUCUCUUGGCUCUCGCAUCGAUGAAGAACGCAGCGAAUUGCGAUAAGUAAUGUGAAUUGCAGAUUUUCAGUGAAUCAUCGAAUCUUUGAACGCACCUUGCGCUCCUUGGUAUUCCGAGGAGCAUGCCUGUUUGAGUGUCAUUAAAUUCUCAACCAUGACUUUGUUGACAUGGCUUGGAGUUGGGGGUUGCUGGCUUGUUUGUCAGCUCUCCUGAAAUACAUUAGCGGUGGACAAGCAAGGCCUUCCGACGUGAUAAUGAUCGUCGUGGGGCGGAGCAUCAACGUCUGUCUGCUUCUAAAUCCCAGAUGCCUUAGCUAGACAUCAUUUCGAACGCUUGACCUCAAAUCAGGUAGGACUACCCGCUGAACUUAAGCAUAUC